UGUUUCACCUUGGGGUGCUGCACAAUGCGGCUGAGAAUAAACCCAUACAACUUGAUGCAGGUAAUACUGACGCAAGGAAAGAAGAUGAAACUGCUU
rnacentral:ncRNA from 2 species